GCUGCUGAUGCUUCCUCCUCCCCACUGCUCCACCACCUAUCUGGGGUGCUUCUGCAGAUGGGAAGGAAUUUGAGAAGGAAAGACAGUGACCAGUGUUUCCUGUUAUGGUGACAGCACAAGAACUCAAGUUUUAGCAGAGAUGCCCAUCAUGCCCUGUCAGAGCCUGUCCUUCCCUCGACCUUGACCAUCCCCUGACCUCCCUGCUCCAGUGGAGGCCGCUGAUGAGGGUCGGAGGCAGAGAGCACCCGGACUUCAGAUGCCGAGAACUUUAUGUGAGUUGAUGGAGCAGAAUUGCUGGUGGAGUGUGAGUCUGGCAAUCGGGAAGCUGAGGGCAGCACUUGCUCCGCCUCACCCCUGCCCUCCCCACUGCCCAGCCUUCCUGGGCAUUCAAUUUUGCUCUGCUCUGUGGAGUGCAGUCAGAGCACAGAAGAGAGCAGAGGAUUUUAUUCCAAGCAGGCAGGGGCUGGAGGAAAAGGAAGGAGGAAGAAAAUGGAGAGGAGGAGGAGGUGGAGGAGACAGAGGAGAAGGAGGAGGAGGAGACUGGCUGGCCAGGUGUUCCACAGAUCCUCAGGGGGCUCAACAAGAGGAAAUCACAUUAUUCAGGAGUGAUUUUGCUUGGCAUCACAGAGAGCGGCUUGAUUGUCAGAGUGAUAAAACACUGGCGUGGACAAUCAAGAGGAGCGCUGUAGGUUUUUAGCCAAGAAUAACCAUCAGUCUGACCAGAUGGAUUAGUCAUUCACCUGCAUGGGCACAGAGGGGGGACCAGAUGGUCUCCCUUGAGAUCCCUUCCAGCUCUAUGGGUCUAAGAGCUGCACUCUCCCCCUCCAGGAAUUCCUUGUCUUAGCCACUGGCGGGGGGUUAACUGGUAUGCUGGGAGUGCCUAUCUGGUGUGCCAUGAAGUCAGAGCAGCAUUUAAUCUUGCCUGUGUCUGUCUGUCCAUCACUGUUCUUGCCUCUCCUGGCCCUCAGGGGCCACCAAGCCAAGGUUUCUCAUUAAAUCAAGGUCUGUGAUGACUGG